rnacentral:rRNA from 1 species
AUUGAACGCUGGCGGCAGGCCUAACACAUGCAAGUCGAACGGCAGCGGGGGAUAGCUUGCUAUCCUGCCGGCGAGUGGCGGACGGGUGAGUAAUGCAUGGGGAGCUGCCCAGUCGAGGGGGAUAACAACUGGAAACGGUUGCUAAUACCGCAUACGCCCUAAGGGGGAAAGGUGGGGAACUUCGGUCCUACCGCGAUUGGAUGCGCCCAUGUGGGAUUAGCUAGUUGGUGAGGUAACGGCUGACCAAGGCGACGAUCUCUAGCUGGUCUGAGAGGAUGACCAGCCACACUGGAACUGAGACACGGUCCAGACUCCCACGGGAGGCAGCAGUGGGGAAUAUUGCACAAUGGGGGAAACCCUGAUGCAGCCAUGCCGCGUGUGUGAAGAAGGCCUUCGGGUUGUAAAGCACUUUCAGUCAGGAGGAAGGUGGUAAGGCUAAUAUCCUUAUCAAUUGACGUUACUGACAGAAGAAGCACCGGCUAACUCCGUGCCAGCAGCCGCAGUAA